rnacentral:ncRNA from 1 species
AAAAAGUUUUAUUUUGGCUUUUAAAAUUUAGUUUAUAUUUUUAUUUAUAUGUGAAUUUUAGUAUGAUAUAUUUAUUUAAAUAGUAAAUUAUACAAAUAAAAAUUUUUGCAAUAACUAAUGUUAUACAUAUAAAAGGAAUUUUGAUAUAUAAAUAUAUAAGAAUAUUGGCUCAAUUUGUGCCAGCAGUCGCGGUUAAACAAAUAAUAUAAUUAAAUUUUGUCGGUAUAUAAUUUAUAAGAUUAUUUUUAAUUUAAAAUUAAAUUUUAUAAGUGAAAUUAGAAAUUUAAAUUAAGUUAGAUUAUUAUAUUGUUAAUUUAUGAAAUCUUAAUAAUAAACUAGGAUUAGAUACCCUAUUAUAAAAGAUGUAAAAUUAAAUGCUAGAGUAUUAGUAGUUAUGGUCUUGAAAUUCAAAAAAUUUGGCGGUAUCUUAAGUCUAUUUAGAGGAACCUGUUCUAUAAUUGAUGAUCCACGAUUAAUUGUACUUAAUUUUUAUUUGUAUAUCGUCGUAGUUGAAUGUCUUUAAAAAGUUAUUUGAUUAACGUUCAUUAGUUAGAAAUAUAAAUUAAAUCAGAUCAAGAUACAGUUUAUAAUUAAGAAGAAAUGGGUUACAAUAAAAUUAUUUAAAUGGUUAUAAUAUUUAACAAUAUUGUAUAAAUUGGAUUUAAAAGUAAUAUAUUUAAGUUAAAAUAUAUGAUUCUAGUGCUAAGAUAUGUACAUAUCGCCCGUCGCUUCUAAUGAUAAGGAAAUUAGAAUAAGUCGUAACAUAGUAGGUGUACCGGAAGGUGUACCUAGGUUGAUUUAU